rnacentral:rRNA from 1 species
GGGUUGUGAGGUUAAGCGACUAAGCGUACACGGUGGAUGCCCUGGCAGUCAGAGGCGAUGAAGGACGUGCUAAUCUGCGAAAAGCGUCGGUAAGGUGAUAUGAACCGUUACAGCCGGCGAUGUCCGAAUGGGGAAACCCAGUGUGAUUCGUCACACUAUCGUUAACUGAAUACAUAGGUUAACGAGGCGAACCGGGGGAACUGAAACAUCUAAGUACCCCGAGGAAAAGAAAUCAACCGAGAUUCCCCCAGUAGCGGCGAGCGAACGGGGAGCAGCCCAGAGUCUGAAUCAGCUUGUGUGUUAGUGGAACGGUCUGGAAAGUCCGACGGUACAGGGUGAUAGUCCCGUACACCAAAAUGCACAGGCUGUGAACUCGAAGAGUAGGGCGGGACACGUGGUAUCCUGUCUGAAUAUGGGGGGACCAUCCUCCAAGGCUAAAUACUCCUGACUGACCGAUAGUGAACCAGUACCGUGAGGGAAAGGCGAAAAGAACCCCGGCGAGGGGAGUGAAAAAGAACCUGAAACCGUGUACGUACAAGCAGUGGGAGCACCUUCGGGUGUGACUGCGUACCUUUUGUAUAAUGGGUCAGCGACUUAUAUUCUGUAGCAAGGUUAACCGUAUAGGGGAGCCGCAGGGAAACCGAGUCUUAACUGGGCGUUAAGUUGCAGGGUAUAGACCCGAAACCCGGUGAUCUAGCCAUGGGCAGGUUGAAGGUUGGGUAACACUAACUGGAGGACCGAACCGACUAAUGUUGAAAAAUUAGCGGAUGACUUGUGGCUGGGGGUGAAAGGCCAAUCAAACCGGGAGAUAGCUGGUUCUCCCCGAAAGCUAUUUAGGUAGCGCCUCGUGAAUUCAUCUUCGGGGGUAGAGCACUGUUUCGGCUAGGGGGUCAUCCCGACUUACCAACCCGAUGCAAACUACGAAUACCGAAGAAUGUUAUCACGGGAGACACACGGCGGGUGCUAACGUCCGUCGUGAAGAGGGAAACAACCCAGACCGCCAGCUAAGGUCCCAAAGUCACAGUUAAGUGGGAAACGAUGUGGGAAGGCACAGACAGCCAGGAUGUUGGCUUAGAAGCAGCCAUCAUUUAAAGAAAGCGUAAUAGCUCACUGGUCGAGUCGGCCUGCGCGGAAGAUGUAACGGGGCUAAACUGUGCACCGAAGCUGCGGCAGCGACACUAUGUGUUGUUGGGUAGGGGAGCGUUCUGUAAGCCUGCGAAGGUGGCCUGUGAGGGUUGCUGGAGGUAUCAGAAGUGCGAAUGCUGACAUAAGUAACGAUAAUGCGGGUGAAAAGCCCGCACGCCGGAAGACCAAGGGUUCCUGUCCAACGUUAAUCGGGGCAGGGUGAGUCGACCCCUAAGGCGAGGCCGAAAGGCGUAGUCGAUGGGAAACAGGUUAAUAUUCCUGUACUUGGUGUUACUGCGAAGGGGGGACGGAGAAGGCUAUGUUAGCCGGGCGACGGUUGUCCCGGUUUAAGCAUGUAGGCGGAGGUUCCAGGUAAAUCCGGUACCUUUUUAACGCUGAGGUGUGAUGACGAGGCACUACGGUGCUGAAGUAACAAAUGCCCUGCUUCCAGGAAAAGCCUCUAAGCAUCAGGUAACAUUAAAUCGUACCCCAAACCGACACAGGUGGUCAGGUAGAGAAUACCAAGGCGCUUGAGAGAACUCGGGUGAAGGAACUAGGCAAAAUGGUGCCGUAACUUCGGGAGAAGGCACGCUGAUAUGUAGGUGAAGCCCCUGCGGGUGGAGCUGAGAUCAGUCGAAGAUACCAGCUGGCUGCAACUGUUUAUUAAAAACACAGCACUGUGCAAACACGAAAGUGGACGUAUACGGUGUGACGCCUGCCCGGUGCCGGAAGGUUAAUUGAUGGGGUUAUCCGUAAGGAGAAGCUCUUGAUCGAAGCCCCGGUAAACGGCGGCCGUAACUAUAACGGUCCUAAGGUAGCGAAAUUCCUUGUCGGGUAAGUUCCGACCUGCACGAAUGGCGUAAUGAUGGCCAGGCUGUCUCCACCCGAGACUCAGUGAAAUUGAACUCGCUGUGAAGAUGCAGUGUACCCGCGGCAAGACGGAAAGACCCCGUGAACCUUUACUAUAGCUUGACACUGAACAUUGAGCCUUGAUGUGUAGGAUAGGUGGGAGGCUUUGAAGCGUGGACGCCAGUCUGCGUGGAGCCAACCUUGAAAUACCACCCUUUAAUGUUUGAUGUUCUAACGUUGGCCCCUUAUCGGGGUUGCGGACAGUGUCUGGUGGGUAGUUUGACUGGGGCGGUCUCCUCCCAAAGAGUAACGGAGGAGCACGAAGGUUAGCUAAUCCUGGUCGGACAUCAGGAGGUUAGUGCAAUGGCAUAAGCUAGCUUGACUGCGAGCGUGACGGCGCGAGCAGGUGCGAAAGCAGGUCAUAGUGAUCCGGUGGUUCUGAAUGGAAGGGCCAUCGCUCAACGGAUAAAAGGUACUCCGGGGAUAACAGGCUGAUACCGCCCAAGAGUUCAUAUCGACGGCGGUGUUUGGCACCUCGAUGUCGGCUCAUCACAUCCUGGGGCUGAAGUAGGUCCCAAGGGUAUGGCUGUUCGCCAUUUAAAGUGGUACGCGAGCUGGGUUUAGAACGUCGUGAGACAGUUCGGUCCCUAUCUGCCGUGGGCGCUGGAGAAUUGAGGGGGGCUGCUCCUAGUACGAGAGGACCGGAGUGGACGCAUCACUGGUGUUCGGGUUGUCAUGCCAAUGGCAUUGCCCGGUAGCUAAAUGCGGAAGAGAUAAGUGCUGAAAGCAUCUAAGCACGAAACUUGCCCCGAGAUGAGUUCUCCCUGACUCCUUGAGAGUCCUGAAGGAACGUUAAAGACGAUGACGUUGAUAGGUCGGAUGUGUAAGCGUAGCGAUACGUUGAGCUAACCGAUACUAAUGAACCGUGAGGCUUAACCUUACAACGCCGAAGGUGUUU